rnacentral:rRNA from 1 species
GCCCAGCACCGAAUCCUUCACCAUAUCGGUGACAGGAAAUGUGGUGUUUAGGCCGUACUUUGUCCUGAUACGUCUCUCCUCAAGUCCACUUGAUUGUGGCCCUCGGCCCAGAGAGGGUGUAAGGCCCGUGGAGGCGAGAUGUUCAGUACCUGGUGCGUCCUUAGAGUCGGGUUGUUUGGGAAUGCAGCCCUAAGCGGGUGGUAAACUCCAUCCAAGGCUAAAUACCAGCACGAGUCCGAUAGCGAAGAAGUACCGCGAGGGAAGGUUGAAAAGAACUUUGAAGAGAGAGUUCAAGAGUACGUGAAACCGCUGAGAGGCAAACUGGUGGAACUGAAAUGGUCUCGAGGAAUUCAGCCGUUGGUGUUUGUACAGCCGGUGUCGUCUGAUUUAACGACAGCUUCAUCGGUUGACGCUUACGUCAUCGGUGCACUUUCCUCGUUGUGGACCCGACCACGACCGGUGAGCUGCUCUGUCCAUCGUGCUUGGAAGGUAGCGCCGUCUUCGGAAGGCGUGUUAUAGACUUGCGCAUGGAGCAGUACGGCACACUGGACGAUAGUGCCUGCCCAUUGGGCUCAUAUGGUGGUUGUUUUAUUGGCGAGUUCCGAUGUCACUACUUCGGUAGAGGCAUUGGUCUCUGUCAGCAUUAUGACUGUCCGCUAUGAUUGGCGCUGGUAAGUCUGUGGUUGUGAAGUAGGUAGUCCACCUGACCCGUCUUGAAACACGGACCAAGGAGUCUAACAUGUGCGCGAGUCAUUGGGUUCGCGAAACCUAAAGGCGAAGUGAAGGUAAAGAUCUGUUUUGGCAGAUUGAGGUGGGAUGCUGGGUUACGCGCCCAGCCGCACUACCGGCCCGUUCUACAUGUAUCUCAUGGGGGCGGAGCAAGAGCGUACACGUUGGGACCCGAAAGAUGGUGAACUAUGCUUGCGCAGGUCGAAGCCAGAGAA